GUUCGUUUUCAGUCUAGCACUCGAAAUACAGAAAAUUUUUCUGGGAAGAACGCUUAUAACAAGCCCACAAGAUAUCAGAAAAUAAUGAAACGCCUGAUUAAGCGGUAUGUACUGAAGGCUCAGGUGGAUCGAGAAAAUGAUGAAGUCAAUGAAGGAGAACUUAAAGAGAUUAAGCAAGAUAUUUCCAGUCUCCGCUAUGAACUUCUAGAGGAAAAGUCACAAGCCACUGGUGAGCUGGCAAGACUAAUCCAGCAGCUGAGCGACAAAUUUGGGAAGAACUUAAAUAAGGACAUUUGAUGUUGAACAAAGAGAAAGACAACUGGCUUUAUAAAUGUUAUUCAGUCUCAACCAGCAUCUUAGGAGGGCAAAACAGUGCAAAAGAUGAGUACUGCACACUCGACUUUUGCUAGCUAGCAAGUAUUGGUAGGAGCACUUAGCAUUACUCCUGCAUUUGGUGAAUUACCAGUUUAAUCCUUUAUGACAUGGAAGUGACUUACUGGUAAAAAUAUAUGUCCUUUGACAUCAGAAAUAGAUGCACUACUUCCAAAAGAUACUCACCCCUACCCUAGUUAGGGAAGGCAUCUCUAAUCAAAGGCAAAAAAGUCAAA